rnacentral:rRNA from 1 species
CAGCCGCCACGGUAAUGCGUAGGGUGCAAGCGUUAAUCGGAAUUACUGGGCGUAAAGCGUGCGCAGGCGGUUUGUUAAGACAGAUGUGAAAUCCCCGGGCUCAACCUGGGAACUGCAUUUGUGACUGGCAAGCUAGAGUGUGGCAGAGGGGGGUGGAAUUCCGCGUGUAGCAGUGAAAUGCGUAGAUAUGCGGAGGAACACCGAUGGCGAAGGCAGCCCCCUGGGCCAACACUGACGCUCAUGCACGAAAGCGUGGGGAGCAAACAGGAUUAGAUACCCCAGUAGUCCCUGUCUCUUAUAC